CCUACGGGGCGCAGCAGUGAGGAAUAUUGGUCAAUGGCCGGAAGGCUGAACCAGCCAUGCCGCGUGAAGGUCAGUGCCCUAUGGGCGUUAAACUUCUUUUGUGCGGGAGCAAUAAUGGUCACGUGUGGCCAGACGAGAGUACCGUACGAAUAAGCAUCGGCUAACUCCGUGCCAGCAGCCGCGGUAAUACGGGGGAUGCAAGCGUUAUCCGGAUUUAUUGGGUUUAAAGGGUGCGUAGGCUGUGAGGGAAGUCAGCGGUGAAAUGCCCCCGCUCAACGGGGUGAAGUGCCAUUGAUACUGCCUGGCUGGAAUGCGGAUGCCGUGGGAGGAAUGUGUGGUGUAGCGGUGAAAUGCAUAGAUAUCACACAGAACACCGAUUGCGAAGGCAUCUCACGAAUCCGCGAUUGACGCUGAUGCACGAAAGCGUGGGUAUCAAACAGGAUUAGAUACCCUAGUAGUC
rnacentral:rRNA from 1 species